AGGGCACAGGCGUGACCCUUAUAAGGACGAUGUGAGGCACAUGUAGAGGCUAACCCGUCCUGUCGGGGGUGCUUUGGCGACUCGCUAAUGAUCGUAUAGAGACGGCGGGUCGUGCCGACACCCACGAACGUGCGAACACAAUUUCUUACGGCGAGUCAGUUGCCGCCCUACUUCGGCGGUGACUGGCUCGUCAAUUUUUGGACGCCCCCAAUGCUUAGUUGGGGGCUCCCACUUAUCCUUUCAAUUGAUGCACAGCCUGAUUUUGUGGAUUUGAACAAUUGGAUCCUUUGUUUUAUUGUCUUAGUUUUCAAAGAGAUGUUCUUAUUUUAUGUGUUUUCUCAGUGUUUGAUGUGUUGUUUUAGGAGAUUUUCUGGUUAGGAUGCUUUUAGUGAGAGAUUUAUGAGUUUUUGACACGACGAAACGAUUUAUUAAGAUGCUUUAUAUAUUGAUGUUGUUUGGAAUGUGAACUGCGGCUUCUGCGUCAAUAGUCGGUGUUUAUUCUGGAUAGAUCUAGAGGCUUCUCUGUGUUUGUUGAGAUCCUACGUGCUCAUCUAUGGUGAUUAGAACGACAAUAAACUUUGUUGAUUUACUAAUAAAAUGCAACCAAGUUCUAGGUAACCUGUAAUUGACUGCUUUCUCUUUAUCUUCCUGAAUCACACAAUAUAUUGGUCGAUAGCGAAACGUCUGGAAGCCCUGGGAAUCUCUGUAUGUUUUUGCUUCAUCAUGAUUGCUCCUAAACCGCAAAGAUUGUUUUGAGCCUCAUUGUUAUAGAUAAAUUAGAUCAAAUCUGCUAAGGUUGUUCUUCUCAAGUGGCUAGUAGUUGCACCGUUGUUUCACAUACUCUAUGCUCCUAUAACUUUUUCGUAUUGCCGAUUUUCGGGGAAGUUAAGAACGGUGGAGAGAAUGUUUGUUUUGUUACUAUUACUCUGUUGAGUAAUUGCCAAUGUGCUAUUUCUGAAUGCAGUAAUAUACUCAUAAGUUUGGAUUGUA